ensembl:misc_RNA
AGCCACAAAAGGAGAGACCCUGGGGCGCUGGGGGCUGACUUCACAGGUAGGAGGAAACAUGAGUUUCCGGGCAGGACAGAUGGGCAGCCAGCUGCUGUCCCUCGUGCUGGGCAGCCCCUGGGGACACUGUCUGCUAGAUAGGUAGGGAAGGACUGGUAAAUUC